GAUGAACGCUGGCGGCGUGCUUAACACAUGCAAGUCGAACGAAGCACUCUAUUUGAUUUUCUUCGGAAAUGAAGAUUUUGUGACUGAGUGGCGGACGGGUGAGUAACGCGUGGGUAACCUGCCUCAUACAGGGGGAUAACAGUUGGAAACGACUGCUAAUACCGCAUAAGCGCACAGGAUCGCAUGAUCCGGUGCGAAAAACUCCGGUGGUAUGAGAUGGACCCGCGUCUGAUUAGCCAGUUGGCAGGGUAACGGCCUACCAAAGCGACGAUCAGUAGCCGACCUGAGAGGGUGACCGGCCACAUUGGGACUGAGACACGGCCCAAACUCCUACGGGAGGCAGCAGUGGGGAAUAUUGCACAAUGGGGGAAACCCUGAUGCAGCGACGCCGCGUGAGCGAAGAAGUAUUUCGGUAUGUAAAGCUCUAUCAGCAGGGAAGAAGAAUGACG
rnacentral:rRNA from 1 species